rnacentral:rRNA from 1 species
UUACAGCCAUAUCACAUUGAAACACCAGUUCUUGUAUGAUCAACAAAGUUAAGCAGUAUCAAGCCCGGUCAGUACCUAGAUGGGUGACUAUUUGGGAAUAUCAGGUGUUGUAAG